rnacentral:lncRNA from 1 species
UAUUGUGGUAAAAACACUUAACAUGAGAUCUACCCCUCUUAAAUUCUCUUUGGCCUAAUGUAACAUACUUGGGGUUUGGGUUAGAGCCUUUAUUUUCCACCUUAAAAUACAAAAUGUCAGGCAUUAAAUAUCGAGUCUCUUACUAAUAUAUACAGACUGGAUAAAGGUAGAAAGCCACCAAGUUUUUCCCGCACAAAGGAGGCAUGCAUUAUCAUUGCUAUCACAUGCCUUCACAAAACAAUAGCCCUCCUUCUAGAACCAUCGUUUUCAAAAGGAGCAGGUAAAUAUUAUUAUUUACUACUCUAAGGCAGCGAUAACUGAUUAAGGUAAAUUUAGUGGAAACAUUAAAAUAAUGGCAGGAGAAGAAAAUUUAUUCCACAGAAACACUGUGUGAACUUAUUGGAAAUAAUCAGUCGCUCAGUUUGAAUUAAAUGAGUGUGAGUGAAUGCAGUUGAGGAGGCAGGUGGGAGAUAGGAAGAGACAGAGGUUGAAAGAGAAAGCCUGGCCCCCAGGAGCUGGAAUCUACACACUCCUCUCUGCCCAGGCUGGUAGGAAAAUCUGCAAAGAUGCAAAGCAUCCUUAGGUGUUCUGUUAGCAGUAAGUAAAUUGCUGUGGGAGCUAAGGGUGGGCCUGCUUCAGCAAGCCAUUCCUCUCUGUCUUUCAUUCUGUUUGUCUCUGUUAAAUUCCCCCUCUGCCCUCAUCCAUUCUCACAUCCAGUUCCCCGCUUUGUCCAUCCAUCAAUCCCCUCACUUUGUCAGUGCUGACUUCAUCCCGGCUCUCAGCCUCCAUCCUGAGGCCGCGGGGGAGCCCCCCGCCCACCGCCGCCUCCCCGCUCCCCGAUCUGCUGACGGAGGGCCCUGGCGGCGGCUUGUCGUUUUCUAUUGCACAGGCCAGCAAAAACACUAAUACUCAACCUGAUUCCUAUCGUCCUGCUUUUCACCUUUUCUAUUGAGGGAAAUGGAAGACAGCAAGACACCAGGAGAGAGAAACGGUGGGGAGGAAAGCCAUAGGGUGAUGGGGGGGUGGAUAAUGGAAAGAGAUGUUUGCUGAAUUUUCUCCAACAAUUUGCACACCAGUCAGGUGGAGGCUCAAUCCAGCUUCCUGUACCACACAUCAAUAGAAAUCACAGGGAGAAAAUGUAGCACUAAUUAAGGGUUGAUAAGCUGUAGUCAAGUGCAGUUUAGUGGAAAAAAAAAAAAAAAUCCGGCAGACUACCCAGGCCUGUGCAAACACAACUCUGCACAGCACUUUGAUCGCUGGCUGAGGAUGGGAAUUUUGCAGCACUCUGUUUUUUAAAUGGUUUUGUCUUCAAAAUCAAACAGAUAGGCUGAGAGAAAAAUAUUAGAUGGUCGUUUUUAUCCAAAAGAUCAUUUGCAAAACAUUUCAGAGGAGGGGGCCGGGGAAGCUUACUAAAGAGGAAAAUAGUUACCUAGCAACAAAACUAUUUUAAAACAUUAUUCAGUGUAUUGCCUGAUGGUGUGCUUUUAAUUCAAAAGUGUGUGGUUCUGAGCACCUGCCAAAUUAAUAAAAUAUUUAUUCCCUGAAUUCUAAAUUCCUCGUCUUUUUCCCCCGAAACAGGGCAAACUUCACAAUAAGCCAUAAUCAAGAUGAUUAAAACAAAAUUUGCCAUUGCUACACAUUUCUUUAAACCUUACUGAGUGAAAAACAAAAUUUCACUUGAAAUAUGAGCAAUAGAAUUAGCACAACUAUUUAUACAACUAUGCUUAAAAUGACUUUGAAAUAUGCUUAAAAUGACUUACCCAUCAAGGACCUUCCUGAGCAGGUUUUUCUAUGUAAGGUUCGGAAAAGACAGUGAAUUAUAACUGGUGGUAGUCAUAACCAGCACCUGAGAGGCCUUCCCACCUAGAAGGCAUAUUCAUCUAUGUUGUCUGAUCCUUGCAACAAUCCAUUCUAACUAGUACCUGCUUUUCUGGGAACUGAGAAAGCUGAGGCCCAGCAAUUUAGAAAUUGUCUCCAAAGCACACCAUGGUUAGGAAAGGGCAUCGUCAAGCCCUCCCUUGGAUGUUUAAGUUGUGCUGUUUUUGUUAAGAAAUCAGUCACAGUACCUUGUGGUCACAGCUUGUAUUCCCGAGGAUUUGAGGGGUGGACUGCAAAUUACUAACCAGGGCAGGUAAAACCACAGCAGGAAGAGCAAAGAGGAGCACAGGUGAGCCAGCAGGACCUCCCUGCUUACCCAUCGCUCUCCGCGCCAUCACCACAUCUCUCAUCUAGAACCUUCCCCCGCAGCUCCUUCCUCAUCCCUUUUGUUUCUCAAACCCACAUGCCCAGAUGGGCUCUGGCUGUGACAGCGCAGACCAGGGGAAGAAAAAAAAGAAAAAAAAAAAGGCAGCAGCAAAAAGUCUCCUCUGCGGUGCUACUCUACACAUCAGACAUCUCUAAUUAGACAGCAACAAAAUUUUAUUAAUAGGAUGGACAUUAUAGAAUGAGCUUGUUAUAAAUGGGCCCUGUCAGGGCCUUAUUCAGCUACCAAAUGAGUAUUCUCAGUUCAGUGCUCUCAUCUGAGGCAUCACGCCUAGUGCUGGAUAACAAAUGAUUGCUAUUAACCGUAUUGUUAGUAAUGAUGGCUGAAAACAAACAAAAACCCAUAAAUAACAGUCUACAGAAAAAUUAACCCAUAAACUUGAUAGAUAUCCAGCUGAGAAAUAAUAAAUGACACUUUGGGGCCUGCUGGGAGAAGCUAGUGGUUUUUGUUUUCCUCUCUGUCAUUAACACAUUUUCUGUGCUAAAAAUUAGAUUCUGAUAUAUAAUUAUCAACGCUCCCAGAUAUUAAUUCUGCCAUUGCUCCCUCGGUUUCUCUCCUGGCUGGGCUAUAAUGUUAUUCACAGAUUACUCUGCGAAAACACAUCAAACACUUAACAGAACAGGUCAAAGUGACAAGCAGCUUCUGCUGACAACACCAACCUGCACCGUCUUUUUUACCAGAGACACAAAACAAAUUUCUCAUAUUAAUUAACUAAGGUUCCCUUCCAGCCACAACAGGCCUAUACAAUGCAAGGUGGGCUAAGCACAUCCCUACUUCUCUAAUGAAGGCGGCCAAGGGAAGCCAGGAGUAACAAAAUUAUCUUGCAUUUAUGGCCUUUAAAUCUACACUCACUAAUAAUGUCUUUCAGAGAGGAGACAGGGUUCAAAACAGCUUUCCAACUGCCGAGUCCUCUCACCUUGAGCCUCUUCCUCUUAAAGGGCCUCGUGGAAGGGCAAGGACGCACACACCCACACACACACAAUUAAGGAGGUAAGCAAGACACCUUUCCCGAAAGGAGCCGGAAUUUCAGCCCCAGCACACGAAUUAGCAGUGUCACCAAGAAGAACUUUAACUUCCCAAAUGUCAUGACUUCUGCACAAUUAAUUGACCUCAAGCGCAAUACUUUCUCAACUGUCAGUGGCUUAUAUUUGUCAGGAAGCACCCAGAAAAGGGAAAUUCACCAGGCUUCUCCAGGGACUGAUCCAUAUUCUAUAAGCAGACCAAGACACCACACACAAAUACCUGGGAAAAAAACUUUAUUUUUUAAUUUUAAAAAAAAAUUAAGAUGCCCAAUUUAAAGAAUGCAUAUGAUUGUUUAGUUUGGUUAAAAAUAAGAUGAUGAAAUUUGAGAUCCAAGACUAAGGUGGGGGGAGGGGGAAUCCAUACAAGUAAGUGAACCCUUAUGCAGCUACAUCACCUGAUUCCCAAGCCUGCCCUCCUACCAGGGGAAAAAGACUGCAACCUCCUAUUCUUAAGCAAAAGCCUUCAACUCCAAGCUCUUCUUGCCAGUUAGAACAACUGAACCAAACGUAAAGAUGAGAAAAUUCUUAAAAAACAUAAAAAAUGGAAUCAAAAAUGGGGGUGGGGAGGGAGUCUGAAGAAUGGAUGCAGAAAAAGAGCCAGGGCAGAGAAAGCAUAGGUGAUAACAAGGGACGCUGAGAGCUGCUGCUGUCUGCAAAGCACAACAAACUGGGUGGGGUGUUUGAUCACCAAUUUAGAAAACCUUGCUAAUGGCAAGCAGUGGUGAGAUGCUCCCUUUCUCCUCUCAAGUCCCAUCAAGAACUUGGGCUGGCCAAUCAUGCAAAUAAUAUUCGAGAUGGUAUUUUAAAAAAAAAAUAAGUAAAUGACCUCCCAGCUCCUGUGCUGUGUUUUGAA